UCCCUUGUAGCUCAAGUUGGUAAAGAAUCUGCCUGCAAUGCAGGAGACCUAGGUUUGAUUCCUGGGAUGGGAA
rnacentral:tRNA from 1 species